UGGGGAAUAUUGGACAAUGGGCGCAAGCCUGAUCCAGCCAUGCCGCGUGAGUGAUGAAGGCCCUAGGGUUGUAAAGCUCUUUCACCGGUGAAGAUAAUGACGGUAACCGGAGAAGAAGCCCCGGCUAACUUCGUGCCAGCAGCCGCGGUAAUACGAAGGGGGCUAGCGUUGUUCGGAUUUACUGGGCGUAAAGCGCACGUAGGCGGACUUUUAAGUCAGGGGUGAAAUCCCGGGGCUCAACCCCGGAACUGCCUUUGAUACUGGAAGUCUUGAGUAUGGUAGAGGUGAGUGGAAUUCCGGGUGUAGGAGUGAAAGUCGUAGAUAUUCGGAGGAACACAAGUGGCGAAGGCGGCUCACUGGACCAUUACUGACGCUGAGGUGCGAAAGCGUGGGGAGCAAACAGG
rnacentral:rRNA from 1 species